GACGAACGCUGGCGGCGUGCCUAAUACAUGCAAGUAGGACGCAGUUGCGAACGGGUGAGUAACGCGUAGGUGACUACCUGUUAGAGGGGGAUAACUAUUGGAAACGAUCGCUAAUACCGCAUACUAGUGGAUGGACCUUCGUUGUAUUAGCUAGUAGGUAGGGUAAUGGGCUACCUAGGCAACGAUACAUAGCCGACCUGGGGGGGUGGUCGGGCAACCUGGGACCGGGACACGGCCCAAGCGCCUUCGGGAGGCAGCAGUAGGGGAUCUUUGGCAAAGGGGCGAACGCUGAACGAGCAACGGCGCGGGAGAGAAGAAGGGUUUCGGGUCGGAAAGGUACGUUGUGAAGGAAGCGGUACUUAACCAGAAAGCGACGGCUAACUACGUGCCAGCAGCCGCGGUAAUAC
rnacentral:rRNA from 1 species